GAUGAACGCUGGCGGCGUGCCUAAUACAUGCAAGUCGAGCGAACAGACGAGGAGCUUGCUCCUCUGAUGUUAGCGGCGGACGGGUGAGUAACACGUGGAUAACCUACCUAUAAGACUGGGAUAACUUCGGGAAACCGGAGCUAAUACCGGAUAAUAUAUUGAACCGCAUGGUUCAAUAGUGAAAGACGGUUUUGCUGUCACUUAUAGAUGGAUCCGCGCCGCAUUAGCUAGUUGGUAAGGUAACGGCUUACCAAGGCGACGAUGCGUAGCCGACCUGAGAGGGUGAUCGGCCACACUGGAACUGAGACACGGUCCAGACUCCUACGGGAGGCAGCAGUAGGGAAUCUUCCGCAAUGGGCGAAAGCCUGACGGAGCAACGCCGCGUGAGUGAUGAAGGUCUUCGGAUCGUAAAACUCUGUUAUUAGGGAAGAAAAAAUGUGUAAGUAACUAUGCACGUCUUGACGGUACCUAAUCAGAAAGCCACGGCUAACUACGUG
rnacentral:rRNA from 1 species